GUAUUCAUGUUUAUAUCAGUAUAACUGGAUAUUUUCCUGCCCUUCUUUUUCCCUUCUAGGUCGUUUUUCUAAUUCUUAUGUAAAGUAGUAUUUAUUGUUACACCAUGUUUUUUUAUUGCUCUUAGCUUGACUGUUCUCUCCCUUGUACGUCGCUUUGGACAAAAGCAUCUGCUAAAUGACUAAAUGUAAAUGUAAAUAUCAGUAAAAGGUAACUGGAUAUUUCAGUACCAGGUAACGGGCUAUUCAUGUUUAUAUCAGUAAAAGGUAACUGGAUAUUUCAGUACCAGGUAACGGGCUAUUUCAGUAAAAGGUAACUGGAUAUUUCAGUACUAGGUAAAUGGGUAUUCAUGUUUAUAUCAGUAAAAGGUAACUGGAUAUUUAAGUACCAGGUAACGGGCUAUUUCAGUACUAGGGAACGGGCUAUUUCAGUAAAAGGUAACUGGAUAUUUCAGUACUAGGUAACUGGAUAUUUAAGUACCAGGUAACGGGCUAUUUCAGUACUAGGGAACGGGCUAUUUCAGUAAAAGGUAACUGGAUAUUUCAGUACUAGGUAACGGGCUAUUUCAGUAAAAGGUAACUGGAUAUUUCAGUACUAGGUAAAUGGGUAUUGAGGUUGGUGAUGGGGAGGUAACUGGUGGCCGUGUUCAUGAAAAUGGUGGGAGAGAGAGAGAGAGAUGGAGAGAGA